rnacentral:tRNA from 1 species
CACUACAGAAGCUAUAAAGGAUUUAGCGCUAGCCUUUUAAGCUAGAGAAAGAGAAUUUCCGUCCUCCUUAGUGA